GGCUCAGGACGAACGCUGGCGGCGUGCUUCAUACAUGCAAGUCGAACGAGAAGUUACCUUCGGGUAAUGGAAAGUGGCGGACGGGUGAGUAAAAUGUAGAGAAUCUGCCCCAGAGCGGGGGAUAGCAGUUGGAAACGACUAUUAAUACCCCAUAUGAGCGUAGUUGAAAUACUAUUCUUGAAAACUCCGGUGCUCUGGGAUGAGUCUGCAUCUGAUUAGCUAGUUGGGGGUGUAAUGGACCACCAAGGCGACGAUCAGUAGCUGGUUUGAGAGGAUGAUCAGCCACAAUGGGACUGAGACACGGCCCAUACUCCUACGGGAGGCAGCAGUAGGGAAUUUUGCGCAAUGGGGGAAACCCUGACGCAAGCAACGCCGCGUGAAUGAAGAAGCCCUUCGGGGUGUAAAGUUCUGUCAGUGGGGACGAAACUUGACGGUACCCACAGAGGAAGCAUCGGCUAACUCCGUGCCAGCAGCUGC
rnacentral:rRNA from 1 species